rnacentral:lncRNA from 1 species
GGUGGGGGUUUUAUUCUUGUUAUGAUUCCGUGUUCCAUGUUUUAUUACGAAUCUGUGUGCUUUCCUCUGUUUUCUAAUACUUAUGGGUGCCGUAUUUAUGUUAUGUAAUCUAGUGCUGUGCUUUACUAUGAGUUUGUGUGGUAUCUCGUGACUUGAGCCGGGGGUCUAUCGGAAACAGCCUUUCUACUUCUUUAGAGGUAGAGGUAUGGACUGCGUACAUCUUACCCCCCCAGACCCCACUAGGUGGGAAUACACUGGGUUUGUUGUUGUUGUUGU